UACGUAGGGCGCAAGCGUUGUCCGGAAUUAUUGGGCGUAAAGAGCUCGUAGGCGGUUUGUCGCGUCUGCUGUGAAAACCUAAGGCUCAACCUUGGGCUUGCAGUGGGUACGGGCAGACUAGAGUGCGGUAGGGGUGACUGGAAUUCCUGGUGUAGCGGUGGAAUGCGCAGAUAUCAGGAGGAACACCCGUGGCUAAGGCGGCUCUCUAGUACGGUACUGACGCUGAGACGCGAAAGCGUGGGGAGCGAACAGG
rnacentral:rRNA from 1 species